GGUCUAGUAGCGUAAUGGUAACGCGCGCAGUCGACAUAAGACGUCUGUCCAGUUAUUAUGUGCGAGUUCCUCGUUCGAUUCGAGGCUGGGCCU